rnacentral:tRNA from 1 species
GGACAGGUGGCCGAGCGGUUGAAGGCGCACGCCUGGAAAGUGUGUAUACCGGAAACGGUAUCGCGGGUUCGAAUCCCGCUCCCUCCGCCA